CCCCAUUCUUGGUCCAGACAUACUUACUACAACUCCUGAGCCAAGUACCACCAUCCUGCCUUUUACACUGACAUCUGUGCAGCCAGAAUCCACCACAGCUAGAGCGCACCAUCUGAAGACCAUCACAAUCAACUUUACCAUCUCUAAUCUUCCAUAUUCAGCAGAAAUGAACUAUAGCUCAGCCAUGUUCAACUCUACUGAGAGUGUUCUACAGCACCUGCUUAGACCCUUGUUCCAGAAUAACUCCUUCAACGCAAGCUGUAGACUGACCUCCCUAAGGCCUGAGAAGAAUCAAAACUCAACUAAUGUGAAUGUAAUUUGCUCCUACCAACAUUACUCUGCACAUCCUGGGCUGCACACACAGGAGUUGUAUUCAGAGCUGAGCCAUCUGACCCAUGGAUUUACUCAACUGGGCAACUAUACAUUGGACAAAGAUAGUCUCUAUGUAAAUGGUUAUAAUGAAAUUGGUACAAAAGAACCAACCACAAGU
rnacentral:lncRNA from 1 species